GGAGGUCAGCUCAGCUCAGCUCAGAUGAGGUCUGCCCAUCUCCCAGAAUAUGGGCAACUCCAGAUGUGUAUGUGGAGGAUCCAAUGGCCAUAGUGACCCAGAGCUUGAUUACUAGAUGUGAGCUCCACCUCACUCUGUGGGAAGCCCAGCUGUAAGCAUCGGAGGUCUGUUAACCCCUGGAGGAGAAAGGACAUCAUGUACAUUCGCCAGCACAUGGUGGGUGCCCAGACCAUACAGUGGAGUUCCCUGAAACAUGCCCCAGAGAACAGCAAUCACCCAUGGGAGCUGUUUCCUCAGUUAGGAGGAGAGAGAAGCCAACCCAUCCAUCCAGGUAAACAUGAGGAAGAUGGAAUUUGGCCUUAUUAAGUCUGUCAACAUUCAUGCAAAGUUGUGAAACACACAAAGGUCACUCUCGCCCAGUCUUUCAGGGUCCUGGUCUCUUCUCUGUUUAUGUAUUCCUCGCUUUUCAAAUGUCCUCUCCUUCCUGACUCAUGCUGUAAUCAGUUCUCAGUAAAUCUCUGAUUGAAGCAUUUAAGAACAAAUUACUAAGAAAGCAUGAUAUUUUAUAUAUCCCAGAUAGGUAUGUCUUUUAUUGGGGAUGAACAAAGAAAAAAAGCCUUAAUUCAAAGGAGUAUAUUUUCAAAAGUGAAAUUUCAGGCAGGGUGUUAGGAUAGGCUAAACUGUCAUCCAAGAUUCAAACACAAUGGAAUUUUAUUUCUCGUGCACCUAACAGUCCAGUGUGGAUAUUUGGGUUAUUGGACGGAUUUCCUUUAUGUGGUCAUUCAGAGCCCCUCUGGUGAGGCCUCUGGUUAUAUGCAGCCAGAAGUGGAGGGGAAGGAGAGUGUGGAGGCCCAGCUGCUGUCUUGAGAGCUCAGAUUCAGGAGAAGCACUCCAUCUGGGCUGAUCGUUCACCGAGAGAACUUAGUCACAUGGUCUCCUCCUUUGCCAGUUGCUGUUGUUUUAUUCUGGAAGUAAAGGAAUAUGGAUUUUGGCAGACAACCAACAGUCUCAGCCCAAAUCAACAGCCCACAGUGUGGAGAUUUGUUGCUUGGGAGGGGUGCAGACAAAGAGGAAGAUGAUCUUCUUCCUAAUGUGCCUUCAACUGUGUCCUGUAGCUCCUCAUCACCUCCACCUAAGCUGAAGCCCAGUGCUGCUGAUGCAAUGAACUCCCAGGAGUUUUCAAAUUUACUAACAUCAUUUUAACUCUCUGUGGCUCAGCCUAGGUUUGUAACAGUAGAAAAGUACAAUGUGGACCUGCAUAUCACUGGCCAGUAGAUCUUCAAGAGCCAGCUCCUUCAGGCUCCAAGCAGACCCUGAACUCAAGGACAAGUUGCACUGCUGAUCAUCAGCAGACAAGUUGCACUGUUGAUCAGCACCUGAACCAGGUGGUGCCGAGAAGGAGACAGAGAUGAUGAAAUAAACAUCAGCUUGGUAAUUACUUCUUAAGCCUGAUGAAAAUAGAGUUGACCGGUUGCAGCUGAAAUGUAGUUAAGACUGUGGAUAAUCAUCCUUUAUCUCCUCCUGGUCUCAUAAGCACUGAUGCUUGAGAGGUGUCUGGAAGAUUAUGCAGUGCUCUAAAUUUAUCACAUAUUCAUGUUAAGAAGAGUUUAAUGCAUUUUUCUGUGUAUAAUGUGUAACCAGAAAUAAUUGCAACAGUGAAGAUUUAUUGAAAGAUUAUGUGUCAGGUAUGAUCUUAAAUGCUUUAUGUACAUGGUUUCAUUA
rnacentral:lncRNA from 1 species